CGCUGGCGGCGUGCCUAAUACAUGCAAGUCGAACGGUCUUUCUAUGGAAGCUUGCUUCCACUGAGAAGAUAGUGGCGAACGGGUGAGUAACACGUGGGUAACCUGCCCAUAAGAGGGGGAUAACAUCCGGAAACGGGUGCUAAUACCGCAUAGUUUUCUUGAUCGCAUGAUCGGGAAAGGAAAGACGGCCUUUGUGCUGUCGCUUAUGGAUGGACCCGCGGCGUAUUAGUUAGUUGGUGAGGUAAUGGCUCACCAAGACGAUGAUACGUAGCCGACCUGAGAGGGUGAUCGGCCACAUUGGGACUGAGACACGGCCCAAACUCCUACGGGAGGCAGCAGUAGGGAAUCUUCCGCAAUGGACGAAAGUCUGACGGAGCAACGCCGCGUGAGUGAAGAAAAGGUUUUCGGAUCGUAAAACUCUGUUGUCAGAGAAGAACAAGUUGGAGAGUAACUGCUCCAGCCUUGACGGUAUCUGACCAGAAAGCCACGGCUAACUACGUGCCAGCCGCCGC
rnacentral:rRNA from 1 species